GGAAUUUUGCGCAAUGGGCGAAAGCCUGACGCAGCAACGCCGCGUGAGUGAUGACGGCCCUCGGGUCGUAAAGCUCUGUCAGAGGGGAAGAACCUCCUGUCGGUUAAUAUCCGGCAGGCCUGACGGUACCCUCAAAGGAAGCACCGGCUAACUCCGUGCCAGCAGCCGCGGUAAUACGGAGGGUGCGAGCGUUGUUCGUAAUUAUUGGGCGUAAAGGGCGUGUAGGCGGUUCGUUAAGUCUGAUGUGAAAGCCCCGGGCUCAACCUGGGAAGUGCAUUGGAAACUGGCGAACUUGAGUACGGGAGAGGGUAGUGGAAUUCCGAGUGUAGGGGUGAAAUCCGUAGAUAUUCGGAGGAACACCGGUGGCGAAGGCGGCUACCUGGACCGAUACUGACGCUGAGACGCGAAAGCGUGGGGAGCAAAC
rnacentral:rRNA from 1 species